CCGAGAAGAGCCCGCCCCCAGAAGCGCGCCGCCGCCGGCCGUCGGGGCCGAGCCGCAGCCGAGCGGCCGUGGGCCCGGGCGGCGGGCGGAGACGCGGGCGCCCUCCCUGCUACGGCCCGCGUGAGAUUUGUUUCUUAUAUGUGAUGCCAUUCCAGCACUGGACUCAUGGAGGCUGAACAUUUAUUCAGAUAAGGGAAACCGAGGCACCAAGAGAUUAAGUAACUUGCCCA